GUGCUCACCUUGGCAGCACAUAUACCAAAACUGAAACAAUUCAGAGAGGAUUAGCAUGGCCCCUGCUCAGGGGUGACAUGCACAGCCAUGAAGCUAAUCUGUAUUUU